AAAUUGAAGAGUUUGAUCAUGGCUCAGAUUGAACGCUGGCGGCAGGCCUAACACAUGCAAGUCGAACGGUAACAGGAAGCAGCUUGCUGCUUCGCUGACGAGUGGCGGACGGGUGAGUAAUGUCUGGGAAACUGCCUGAUGGAGGGGGAUAACUACUGGAAACGGUGGCUAUGGAGGGGGAUAACUACUGGAAACGGUGGCUA
rnacentral:rRNA from 1 species